rnacentral:rRNA from 1 species
AGUGAACGCUGGCGGUAGGCCUAACACAUGCGAGUCGAACGGCAGCACAGUAAGAGCUUGCUCUUACGGGUGGCGAGUGGCGGACGGGCGAGGAAUACAUCGGAAUCUACUUUUUCGUGGGGGAUAACGUAGGGAAACUUACGCUAAUACCGCAUACGACCUACGGGUGAAAGCAGGGGAUCUUCGGACCUUGCGCGAUUGAAUGAGCCGAUGUCGGAUUAGCUAGUUGGCGGGGUAAAGGCCCACCAAGGCGACGAUCCGUAGCUGGUCUGAGAGGAUGAUCAGCCACACUGGAACUGAGACACGGUCCAGACUCCUACGGGAGGCAGCAGUGGGGAAUAUUGGACAAUGGGCGCAAGCCUGAUCCAGCCAUACCGCGUGGGUGAAGAAGGCCUUCGGGUUGUAAAGCCCUUUUGUUGGGAAAGAAAAGCAGCAGGUUAAUACCCCGCUGUUCUGACGGUACCCAAAGAAUAAGCACCGGCUAACUUCGUG